GCCGAUAUAGCUCAGUUGGUAGAGCGACGCAUUCGUAAUGCGUAGGUCCUCGGUUCAAGUCCGGGUAUCGGCU
rnacentral:tRNA from 1 species